UACGAAGGGGGCUAGCGUUGCUCGGAAUCACUGGGCGUAAAGGGUGCGUAGGCGGGUCUUUAAUUCAGGGGUGAAAUCCUGGAGCUCAACUCCAGAACUGCCUUUGAUACUGAAGAUCUUGAGUUCGGGAGAGGUGAGUGGAACUGCGAGUGUAGAGGUGAAAUUCGUAGAUAUUCGCAGGAACACCAGUGGCGAAGGCGGCUCACUGGCCCGAUACUGACGCUGAGGCACGAAAGCGUGGGGAGCAAACAGG
rnacentral:rRNA from 1 species